rnacentral:sRNA from 1 species
AUCACUCGCGAACGCCGGUUGCUCUGCGCCGUCCGUACCCACCUCACAACUGCUAGCCACGUUUUGCUAGCC